rnacentral:tRNA from 1 species
GCUAUUUUGGCAGAAAAGUGUGAUGAAUUUAGAAUUCAUAUAUAUAUAAUUAUUUAUUAUAUAAAUAGUA